rnacentral:rRNA from 2 species
GGAGCUGAAGUCAGUCGAAGAUACCAGCUGGCUGCAACUGUUUAUUAAAAACACAGCACUGUGCAAACACGAAAGUGGACGUAUACGGUGUGACGCCUGCCCGGUGCCGGAAGGUUAAUUGAUGGGGUCAGCGCAAGCGAAGCUCCUGAUCGAAGCCCCGGUAAACGGCGGCCGUAACUAUAACGGUCCUAAGGUAGCGAAAUUCCUUGUCGGGUAAGUUCCGACCUGCACGAAUGGCGUAAUGAUGGCCAGGCUGUCUCCACCCGAGACUCAGUGAAAUUGAACUCGCUGUGAAGAUGCAGUGUACCCGCGGCAAGACGGAAAGACCCCGUGAACCUUUACUAUAGCUUGACACUGAACAUUGAGCCUUGAUGUGUAGGAUAGGUGGGAGGCUUUGAAGUGUGGACGCCAGUCUGCAUGGAGCCGACCUUGAAAUACCACCCUUUAAUGUUUGAUGUUCUAACGUGGACCCGUGAUCCGGGUUGCGGACAGUGUCUGGUGGGUAGUUUGACUGGGGCGGUCUCCUCCUAAAGAGUAACGGAGGAGCACGAAGGUUGGCUAAUCCUGGUCGGACAUCAGGAGGUUAGUGCAAUGGCAUAAGCCAGCUUGACUGCGAGCGUGACGGCGCGAGCAGGUGCGAAAGCAGGUCAUAGUGAUCCGGUGGUUCUGAAUGGAAGGGCCAUCGCUCAACGGAUAAAAGGUACUCCGGGGAUAACAGGCUGAUACCGCCCAAGAGUUCAUAUCGACGGCGGUGUUUGGCACCUCGAUGUCGGCUCAUCACAUCCUGGGGCUGAAGUAGGUCCCAAGGGUAUGGCUGUUCGCCAUUUAAAGUGGUACGCGAGCUGGGUUUAGAACGUCGUGAGACAGUUCGGUCCCUAUCUGCCGUGGGCGCUGGAGAACUGAGGGGGGCUGCUCCUAGUACGAGAGGACCGGAGUGGACGCAUCACUGGUGUUCGGGUUGUCAUGCCAAUGGCACUGCCCGGUAGCUAAAUGCGGAAGAGAUAAGUGCUGAAAGCAUCUAAGCACGAAACUUGCCCCGAGAUGAGUUCUCCCUGAGACUUUAGGUCUCCUGAAGGAACGUUGAAGACGACGACGUUGAUAGGCCGGGUGUGUAAGCGCAGCGAUGCGUUGAGCUAACCGGUACUAAUGAACCGUGAGGCUUAACCUUACAACGCCGAAG